rnacentral:rRNA from 1 species
GAUGAACGCUGGCGGCGUGCCUAAUACAUGCAAGUCGAGCGAACAGACGAGGAGCUUGCUCCUCUGACGUUAGCGGCGGACGGGUGAGUAACACGUGGAUAACCUACCUAUAAGACUGGGAUAACUUCGGGAAACCGGAGCUAAUACCGGAUAAUAUAUUGAACCGCAUGGUUCAAUAGUGAAAGACGGUUUUGCUGUCACUUAUAGAUGGAUCCGCGCCGCAUUAGCUAGUUGGUAAGGUAACGGCUUACCAAGGCAACGAUGCGUAGCCGACCUGAGAGGGUGAUCGGCCACACUGGAACUGAAACACGGUCCAGACUCCUACGGGAGGCAGCAGUAGGGAAUCCUCCGCAAUGGGCGAAAGCCUGACGGAGCAACGCCGCGUGAGUGAUGAAGGUCUUCGGAUCGUAAAACUCUGUUAUUAGGGAAGAACAAAUGUGUAAGUAACUAUGCACGUCUUGACGGUACCUAAUCAGAAAGCCACGGCUAACUACGUG